AGGAGCACAGUGAUCAGCAUCCCAGCCUGGCGCAGGGAGAGAGGAAAAUGAGGCACCCUGGGGGCUCUCCCAAGUGCCUCUCCCCGCGCCCCAAACACGCAGACGCACACAGCGCAGCCAGCAGGCCCCGCGAAUGUCCCCUGGCCCGCCCCGCGCGUGGCAAUACGUGUCUGGGGAGAAACAACCCUGGCAGCCGAGAGCAGGGUGACACAUGGUCCGCAUCAGUCACUGUCCCCUCCCACUCCUUCUGGAAGAAAGGUGUUGCUCAGCAGGUGGCAGUGGCACCCGAAGCGUCCCCAUGGCAACACUGACUGAGGUCAGACCUCAUCACUGUGCUGACCUCACUCGGGGGGCCGCUGGACUCGGGCUGGGCUGUCGCUGCCACCGGGGGAAAUGGAACAGCUGGGAAGAGGCUUUCCAGAAAAACGAAUCUGCCCUCUCAGGGUCAUGGCUCCUCCUGCCCAGGGCCCCAGCUCGCUGCACCUUUGUAGGAAACAGUUACUCCUUACCUGGACCUUGACUCUGUAGCUGACGCCUUCAUCCCGCUGAAGGGCAAUCUGAUGGGGAACCACAAAACCAUCCUGGGGUCACAGCCCGUUGCCUCCUGAUACCCAAGCCCAAACCACCCAGGCCUGUAAUGGACUCACUCUUUUCUC